CUUGACAUACUAAGAACUUUCCAGAGAUGGAUUGGUGCCUUCGGGAACUUAGAUACAGGUGCUGCAUGGCUGUCGUCAGCUCGUGUCGUGAGAUGUUGGGUUAAGUCCCGNAACGAGCGCAACCUUUUCCUAUUUGCCAGCGGGUCAUGCCGGGAACUUUAAGGAUACUGCCAGUGACAAACUGGAGGAAGGCGGGGACGACGUCAAGUCAUCAUGGCCCUUACGGCCAGGGCUACACACGUGCUACAAUGGUCGGUACAAAGGGUUGCUACCUCGCGAGAGGAUGCUAAUCUCAAAAAGCCGAUCGUAGUCCGGAUCGCAGUCUGCAACUCGACUGCGUGAAGUCGGAAUCGCUAGUAAUCGCGGAUCAGAAUGCCGCGGUGAAUACGUUCCCGGGCCUUGUACACACCGCCCGUCACACCAUGGGAGUUUGUUGCACCAGAAGUAGGUAGUCUAACCGCAAGGAGGACGCUUACCACGGUGUGGCCGAUGACUGGGGUGAAGUCGUAACAAGGUAAGCGUAGAUGA
rnacentral:rRNA from 1 species